rnacentral:rRNA from 1 species
CAGUCGCCGCGGGAACACGGAGGGGGCUAGCGUUGUUCGGAAUUACUGGGCGUAAAGCGCACGUAGGCGGCUUGGUAAGUUAGAGGUGAAAGCCUGGAGCUCAACUCCAGAAUUGCCUUUAAGACUGCCGAGCUAGCAGGUGAGAGAGGUAAGUGGAAUUCCGAGUGUAGAGGUGAAAUUCGUAGAUAUUCGGAAGAACACCAGUGGCGAAGGCGGCUUACUGGCUCAUACUGGACGCUGAGGUGCGAAAGCGUGGGGAGCAAACAGGAUUAGAUACCCCCGUAGUCCCUGUCUCUUAUAA